GUUUUGGUAGUUUAAAUAAAAACUUUGGUCUUGUAAACCAAAAAUGAAUUUUUUCUCAAAACA
rnacentral:tRNA from 2 species